rnacentral:lncRNA from 1 species
GGGUUGUACGUCUCAUGUGCCCCUCAUCUCCUUCCUUGUUUUGCUCCAAUGUAAGCAGGGAACACACGCGGUCCUGGGAGCGUUGGUAUUGUACUGCUGGGACAAAGGAGGUGCCCACAGCCGUCUUACAAAAUGGUGCAAACAGCGUUGGUUUGCUCUUCUAUUCCACAUGUUGGCACUGGGCAGUAAGGGUAUGAGAGGUGGUGCUGGAGCGUUCCCCAGUGUAGUCAUAUGGGGAUCAGAUGUGAGGUCGUGGUGCUUUUAGGGAAGAAGCAUGGUGGCAUCGUGCAGGUUCAGCUAUGGUGGGUGCUGCACACUCAGAGCGAAGGGGCAAACACACUGCCCACCACUUUAUGGGGCUCUGUGAUCUAUAAGGACCCUGCCAACCCAACCAUCCCACGGCUCUGUGAUCUAUAAGGACCCUGCCAACCCAACCAUCCCAUGGCUCUGUGAUCUAUAAGGACCCUGCCAACCCAACCAUCCCACAGCUCUGUGAUC